UGUCUGGCACACGCGCGCUACACUGAUGAAGUCAUCGAGUUCAUUCCUUUAUCGGAAGAUAUGGGUAAUCUUUUGAAACUUCAUCGUGCUGGGGAUAGAGCAUUGCAACUAUUGCUCUUGAACGAGGAAUCCCUAGUAAGUACAAGUCACUAGCUUGUGCUGAUUACGUCCCUGCCCUUUGUACACACCGCCCGUCGCUACUACCGAUUGAAUGGCUUAGUGAGGCCCUCGGAUUGAGGCUCGGAGACUGGAAACAGACUCUUGGUUUUGAAAAGUUGGUCAAACUUGGUCAUUUAGAGGAAGUAAAAGUCGUAACAAGGUUUCCGUAGGUGAACCUGCGGAAGGAUCAUUA
rnacentral:rRNA from 1 species